AUGUCUUGCUGCAGCUACUGGCAUAUCCUGUCCAACCCAUCCCCCAAUAUGACUGCAUUACAAACAAGGCUAGAAAGACAACAACAAAAUUUAAGGACUGCACUGAAGAUGCGCAGGGAAAAAAAACACCCAUCACCAAACAAACAAAGAAAGGACACACACUUUCAGCUGUAGGAAGAGCAGUGUGCAGACCACGAAGGGCAUUCCUGGAAGGACCUCCAGGCAGAGAUGGCUGUGUUUCAGCACGUGCAAUUGCAGAACUCAUGGCUGAAACAACUCCGCUGCACAGAAGUGAAGGGAUUCCCUCCACCAGUGUGUCUCCAGCACACAAGUCCCUGCUGUCACAUCAAGGUGGCCCAGGUGAGCCAAACAGAAAGGGCUGCAUUCAUUCACUGGAAGGGAGGCAUGAAGGGCUAGAAGAGGAAUAGCUGGACCCAGAGCUCACACAGGAGAAGGCUCUUGUUUGCAACAGCUUGGACAGGAGUAGCUUACAGAGCCAGACAAAAAUUCAACCUACCCAGAUAUGGAUGUGAAGGGAUGGGAUGGCUAAAAACUAGCUGGUGCCAAAUCCCAGUCACGGAUGAAUGAAAUGGAAAAUAAAAUGAACAGAAGAGUCCAGUUCCUGAGCAGUCAGGAAUUUCUGAUCUAUACACCUCUGGGACACAGUAUUUCCAUACCUCAGCCUUGCUCUUUGAGACUUCACAGACAUCUGCUGCAGUGAACAUCCCUGCCAGCAAACACAUGUUCCAAGGGUCUGUAUUUGCCUGCACCUCAUCGUAAAGCAAUGGAGAAGAGUCUGGUUCACAGCACCCUCUGCAUUGCCCAAUAACAGGCAGAAAUAAGUUGUUAGAUUAAUGGGGUUUCCAUGUACUGGGCAGCAUUUAUCAGAACUAGGUGCAUAAAGGGAGGCUGCAAGACCUUUGUCUUGGCAUCUGAAAGGGAUUACUUGAUUUUCAGAAGUGCUCAGCACCACUGAUGAGAAUUACAGAUACUGGCUUGUGCAUGGGAACAGCUGAAUUUAACAUCUAUUUAGGCUGUCAGAGCACUAAAAGGAACUGUGUAAAGAAACUCCAGAUCCAGGCUUUAGGAAAAAGUUUAUCAUAUUUCAUCCAAAAAAGAAAUAUUAAAAAAAGAACACAAGAGAGGGAGAGAACAAAGACACUGAGUUCAGAGCUCGAUUUUAAGACCACUAAUUUACCAGUGUUCAAAUCAAGUGUGCUCUCCUUUUCUUCUUUCAACCCACCACUCACCCAAGCCUUGCAGGGUUCAGCAUGCCCUGAAACCAGGAUCCCAGAAAAGGCCUGGACAAACAUUCAUGGUGCUUUCCAAACUGCAUUAGCAAAGAUUAAAUACAAGCAAGAUUGAAAGGGAUAUAAAACUCCUGCUUAAGCCUUCUCUCUCAGCUCAAGGGCGAAGAAAUCUGCAUCCAGGUCAUCUCAUUUCAUAAUUGCUUCCCUCAGAGGGCUUUAACCACCACCUUUGUAGCAUCUGGUCUUUGUCACUCCUGGAGAGGGUGACACUCAGAGCAUCAAUCCCCUUAAAUCAGCCCAGCUGUACAUACAGCAUUUCUCAUGAGCCACAUACCCACUAUUUUUCAGUCUGAUUAUGGUCUGGGCAGAGAGGCAUCAAGCUCCUGCCCAUUUAUGCAUCACUCUUGCAGUGCUUUCUGCCUGUUUGAACAUGUUUGAUCAAGCCUACUUCUCUCCAUCACAGUUCCUGGUCGGGAGUUGGGGCAGCUGCAUUUGCCUCUCAGUGAAUUUUAGAUAACAUUUAUGAGGCUGCAUUAGUUUGGCCUUGGCAGCCCUGACCCCUCAGACCUCCUGCCAGCACACCAGACCAGUUUCUGCUGACCCUGCAGAAGGCACUGGCUUGGUCAUUACAGGUGUCCCACCUUGCUGGCUUUCUGUUCCUCGCUUAGGGAGCAGAGAUUGUUCAGGAUAUGGCUCUCAUGGUGGUUUCAGGCCAGCACAAGAAGUGAAGUUGCUGAAUC